GUGUGCCUUGCUCUCGCCUUUCCUUCAAGCCUUCUUCCUUGAGUCCCAGCACUGUCCGGCACAGGGCAAGGCAUGCAGUUGGUGCUUCAUAAAAUGUCAGCAGCUUGUAACUUGGUGCUUAUGGAUGAGCAGAAUGAGGUUUGCCAAGACGAUCAGUAACUUGUGCAAAGUGACGUGGCCGGGCGUAGCAGGGCUAAAUCAAACUUCAUGCAAGGCCUCUUCUCACCCCUCUCCAACGCCUUCUACGGGAUGACCUGCUUUUUCUGGGAUCAGAGGAAGGCUGGAAAACAAAUGAAUUCAUCAUCAGCUCGGCAACAAUCAUGCAGUGGAAAUUUCUCCCAGGUUGAAGAAAGAGCCCAGCCACGGACACAGUCAGGGUGUGCGAACUCCUGCUGUGUGUCUCUGGACAAGUUGACUCACCUCUCUGGUUUGUGGUUUCCUUCCACAGUCAAAUGAUUUAGCUCUGUGUUUUUCCGAAUACUAUGCUAUAGCCUGCUCUGUAGGACAGAGUAUGCUGUAAGCUGAAAAUAUCUGUUUUUCAGAAAAUGAUUUU